GCAUUUUAUGUCAUUUAGGGAACCUAGGAUUCUAGGGAUUCUAGGGAUAAGUCUAGCUUUCAUUCCUUUAUUGUGCUCUUUCUUUCCCUCAAAUAUCUUCAAAGCAUUGAUGUUCCAAUCCAUGCAAUUUUCGUUUAAAAACAAAAUGAAACAACAACAACAACAAAAACCUGACAGCUGGAACACAUCUAGAAGUUGUAUCCUUUGGUUGGCCUGCAUUCAAGUACUGAAAAAAGAAAUGAAAUCUAGACAUUUCCCCUAUCUUUUCACUAAUAGUCCCAUGGAAUUUGGUAGGCUUAUUCCAGCAUCUGGUGAAAUAAAUAAAAUUUGAUAUAAUGUAAAAGUGAAAAAAUUAGUUUUUAUAUAAGUAGUUAAUGAUGUUGGAGGAGCUGGUUAUUCUGCUGAAUAGGUUUAUAACACAAACCUAUUUAAAUGUCAUAGAGAUAGUUUCCUAUUUGUAGGACAUUUUCCUAUCCUAAUUAACCAAAACAGUCUCAUUAGGAUAUUUGUCACCAACUAUCAAAUCAGGGGCCAAUGGGAAGACAGGGGCAGUAGGAUUAGAAAUUUAUUCUACUUUAAGGCCUGAUAAUAACUAGUAUUUCUGCUGUAUUUCAGGAUAUUUCCGCCACAGUAAGAAUGUCAGUGGAGUUAAACAAUGCCAUUUUCCCUUGGAUGAGUCUAGGGGGAAGCUAGGCACAACUGUGGGUAACAACUUACUUUAUAGUAUCUCACUCUGGAUCUUUUCCUCAUUCCCUUUUCCUUCCGUCUCCUCCCUCAGUGUCUCUUGAAGAGCCUAGGCUUUGAUGAGUGUGUCUGGUUGGGACGAAGGAUUCCUACUGUACUCCGGGUAUUUGCUCUGCCAUCCCUGCCAAAGGGGUCUAUCGCUCAAACUUCUAGCUGACAGCUUUAGGGCGAUCCUGCCACAAGUCCAUGUACAACAAAAUACCUUUACGUGACAUCUGUUAAAUAUCAACAGUGACUAUUUCAAUCCUCUCCCUUCUUUGAAAGAGAAUACAUUCUCUCUAGAACACCAUCUGAAUUUAUAUCGUCUUAAAAUUUCUGUAAUUUUCAGAUGCGCAAUCAUUUAAAAAAUGCCUCUCAUUUCCACCUGAACUAAAAUACUAAACAUUUGUGUAAUACGUAUGUAUAUUUUUUUCAAAGAGCAUUGCCCCAAUUAGCUAACUAGUGUUCAAAAGACCUCUUAGGAAGUAGAAAAUGAGAUUUAUCUCAAAGCUACUGGAAGAGUCAUGGAGGGAUUUUGACACACGACUUCCUUUAAUGUGCAAUCAGAACUCUUGCUGUCAUAAAGGGAAGUACUUACUUAUUUUCAUGAAUGAUGUUGCCCAUGAACAGGCUUCCUCAGGCCUUUACGGAGAGUGCAAUCCGCUGCACAUUCAACCACAAAGACUACUCAGAAAUGAUCAGUGGAGACAAAAUCAAAUGAGAUUUUGCAGUCUUCCAGAAUAACAUUUGCUCAGAGGCCAUCCAAUUUCUGGCAUUUAUUGAUUUAUCCACUCAUCAUAACUUUAUUGAGCACCUACUGUGCGGCACGUACAAUAACCUGCCAAAAGAAUUUACUAUGUAGUAAUAAUCAUUACAAUUUAGCGAGACUUUUAAACUAUCUGCCUCAUUCAAUCUUAACUUCAAUUAGGCAAGGUAGUUUAUUAGGGUUCUUCUGAGAAAAAGAACCAGUACAGUAUGUUUUUGUGUAUAUAAACAGGCACACACUACACACAGACCAUAUGAGAAACACAGAAAGAGAAUAUGAGAUUUUAAAGAUUGGCAAACAGGAUUUUAGAGGGUGAUAAGUCCAAAAUCAUUAGAGCAGGCCAUCAGACUAGAAAUCCAGGAAGUGUUGCUAUGUUGCAAUUUUUUUUUAAAGUAUAGUUGAUUUAUAGCGUUGUGUCAAUUUCUGCCAUACAACAUAAUGAACUAGUCAUAUAUGUAUAUGUAUGUACAUACAUAUAUACAUACAUGUAUACAUAUACACAUUCUUUUUCUCACGCUGUCUUCCAACAUGUUCUAUCCCAAGAGGUUGGAUAUAGUUACCUGUGCUGUACAGUAGGACCUCAUCGCCUACCCACUCUAAAUGUAAUAGUCUGCAUCUACCAAUCCCAAACUCCUGGUCCAUUCCACUCCCUCUUUUGUUGCAACCUUGAGGCAGAAUUAUUUGUCCCUCUGGAAACCUCAGUCAUUCUUCUUCGCCUGAUUGGAUGAGGCCCACCCAUAUUAUGGAGAUUAAUGUUUUAUUCAAAGUCUACUUAAAUAUUAAUCACAUAUUAAAAAUGUCUUCACAUAGCACCUGGACUAAUGUUUGACCAAAUGAUUAGGCAUUACACCCCAGGCAAAGUGACAUAAGUUAAUCAUCACGGUGAGUGCUACUGUAUUUUACACAUAAAAGUGUUGAGGUUCAGAGAGAUAUUUACUGAGGUAAUAACUGAGAAUUUGGGAAUCUGGGUCAGGUUUAUCCCCAAACCAGCAUGUUUUCUUUUAUAUCCCAAUACAUGAUGAUGUUACAAAAUGAAAUAUAUUGACCCUAUACUUAAGUAUUUAGAUUUUUAUCUUUGGUGGGGAUGUCAGGUUACCAUUUAUUUAUUCAUCCAUCCAACACAUAUUAAUUGAGAAUCUCAUAUAUAAAGUGCACUGUGCUAGGAGCUGAGGACAGAACAGGGAACAAAUAGAGACAAUGGCCCUGCACCCUAGUGGGGAAAAAAGACAACAGAGACACAUCAGAUAUUAAGAGCUACAAAGAAAAAUGAAGUCAGGGGAGGGUCUCUGGGAGUGAUACUUGAGCAGAGACCUGAAUGGUGUAAGACCAUAAACCAUGCAGGUAUCUAGGGAAAAACAUUAUCUUCAGCUCAAGGGAAAAGCAAGUACAAUGGCGCCAAGAUGGGUGGAAGCUCUGAGCAUAUUUCAGGAGUAGCAGGAGACUAAGAUGGCUGGAGCAAAGGCAACAGUCUGCAUCUACUAACCCCAAGCACCCCAUCCAUCCCAGUCCCUCCCCCCCCGCCCCGUGCAUGGGUCACAUGCUGUGCAGUGGAAAACUGACAGAACACUGCAAAUCAGCUAUGCUGGGAAAAAAAUCAUUAUAUAAAUAAAAGGGAAAAAAAGAUGGCUGGAUCAGAAAGAUCUAAGCGGGCUUAUGGAGUAAGAGAUUCAAUAUAGCAUGAACAAAACAUAAUUGUUCUAAAGACAGAGAGAAAAUAAGAGUGCUCAGAUUCAGAGCACUUAGUAAGGGAAAGAUUCUUGAAAAGUGAGUUCUAAGCAGAAGGUUUGAACUGAACAAAAAAAAAUUAGAAAAGCAGGAAUGACUUAGGUAAAUCCACAGAAUCUAGAAGUACAUCAGAUAAAAAUGAAGAGGCGUGAAUAAGGACAACGGCUUGACUGCGACAGAGAUUCAAUACUGUGGGAAACCCAUGCUGGCGACUGGAAGCCUAGGAUCAUGGAGGAGAGAAACCAGCGAGUACGCAGACUGGAUGUUUAGGCAGGUGUCAAAGAAUUUGUUGAGAAUUGAUUUAAAGGAAAUUAAUAGAAAAUUCAAAUAUGGAGGAUUCAAUUUUAUUAAAUUGAAUUUAAUUUUUUAAACUGAAGAGGAGGUUACUGUAGGUAUUCAAAAUGGGAGGCUGAGGCUGAACAAAAUAUUUGGAGAUGAUUAAUAAGAAAAGUUAGGUAUAUUUGUAUGGGUCAUCUCCUUUAUUUCUUAUGAUAAUCAUUAUGACAUGAGAUUCUAUCUGUUAUUAUCCAUAUCCUUACAGAGAAGAUGAAGCUGAAAUGAAAAAAAAUUUUCUAUUAUUAUCCAUAUCCUUACAGAGAAGAUGAAGC
rnacentral:lncRNA from 1 species